rnacentral:rRNA from 1 species
CCUACGGGAGGCAGCAGUGAGGAAUUUUCCGCAAUGGGCGAAAGCCUGACGGAGCAAUACCGCGUGAGGGAUGAAGGAUUUUGGUCUGUAAACCUCUUUUCUCAAGAAAGAAGUUCUGACGGUACUUGAGGAAUAAGCAUCGGCUAACUCCGUGCCAGCAGCCGCGGUAAUACGGGGGAUGCAAGCGUUAUCCGGAAUGAUUGGGCGUAAAGCGCCUGUAGGUUGUUUAUUAAGUCCGUUGUUAAAGCCUAGGGCUCAACCCUAGAAAAGCAAUGGAAACUAGUAGACUAGAGUAUGGCAGGGGUAGAGGGAAUUUCUAGUGUAGCGGUGAAAUGCGUAGAUAUUAGAAAGAACACCGGUGGCGAAAGCGCUCUACUGGACCAUUACUGACACUCAGAGGCGAAAGCUAGGGUAGCAAAAGGGAUUAGAUACCCCUGUAGUCCUAGCCGUAAACGAUGGAUACUAGAUGUUGUGCAUUAUGUACAGUAUCGUAGCUAACGCGUUAAGUAUCCCGCCUGGGGAGUACGCUCGCAAGGGUGAAACUCAAAUGAAUUGACGGCUGAGANGCGAGACGACACGAGGAGAG